AAAGGUGGCAUCUGGCUCUGGUCUGUGACAGGCUGCAUGGGCCACCCCAGUGCCAUUCAUCCCAUCUCCCAUUCUCCACUUAGGGUCUCGGUUCUCUGAAGACUGGCACGUGGCCAGGGAAGGUUGUACAUGAGCCCAGAAUAUCAACUAUGAUGACAGCUGGGGAUCUUCCCAACCCAGGGAUCGAACCCGAGUCUCUUGUGUCUCCUGCAUUGGCAGACAGAUUCUUCCCCACUGUGCCAUCUGGGGCCUCAUUAGUUAGCUGGACACCUGAGCAACCAAUGCCUCCCCCGUCAGACUGCGGCUCCCUGAAGGAGGUAAAAUGCAGCAUCAAAACUGAUUGUGGAAAAUCAGGGUUACAAGUGGAGAAGGGAAAGGACUUUCUGAGGGCCAUAGAAAUGUGUCAGCAGAGCUGGAAGGAGAAUUGGUGAGCCUCCUGCCAACCAGUGUCACCAGGGCCCUCCAACCCAUGCUCCCUCCCCAUGGACACAGCCAGCUGCCCC